rnacentral:rRNA from 1 species
CAUGUAGGCGGUUACAUAAGUCCGAUGUGAAAUACUACAGCUUAACUGUGGAAACGCAUUGGAAACUGUGUGACUUGAAUCUGUGAGGGGUAACUGGAAUUCCUAGUGUAGGGGUGAAAUCUGUUGAUAUUAGGAAGAACACCGAUGGCGAAGGCAAGUUACUGGCACAUGAUUGACGCUGAGAUGCGAAAGCGUAGGGAGCGAACAGGAUUAGAUACCCUGGUAGUCC